GUGGGGAAUCUUCCGCAAUGGACGAAAGUCUGACGGAGCAACGCCGCGUGAACGAUGACGGCCUUCGGGUUGUAAAGUUCUGUUAUACGGGACGAAUGGUACGUCGGUCAAUACCCGUCGUAAGUGACGGUACCGUAAGAGAAAGCCACGGCUAACUACGUGCCAGCAGCCGCGGUAAUACGUAGGUGGCAAGCGUUGUCCGGAAUUAUUGGGCGUAAAGGGCGCGCAGGCGGCGUCGUAAGUCGGUCUUAAAAGUGCGGGGCUUAACCCCGUGAGGGGACCGAAACUGCGAUGCUAGAGUAUCGGAGAGGAAAGCGGAAUUCCUAGUGUAGCGGUGAAAUGCGUAGAUAUUAGGAGGAACACCAGUGGCGAAAGCGGCUUUCUGGACGACAACUGACGCUGAGGCGCGAAAGCCAGGGGAGCAAACGGGAUUAGAUACCCGAGUAGUCC
rnacentral:rRNA from 1 species